rnacentral:rRNA from 1 species
UACGUAGGGUGCAAGCGUUGUCCGGAAUUAUUGGGCGUAAAGAGCUUGUAGGCGGUUUGUCGCGUCUGCUGUGAAUUUCGGGGCUCAACCCCGAACUUGCAGUGGGUACGGGCAGACUAGAGUUCGGUAGGGGAGACUGGAAUUCCUGGUGUAGCGGUGAAAUGCGCAGAUAUCAGGAGGAACACCGGUGGCGAAGGCGGGUCUCUGGGCCGAUACUGACGCUGAGGAGCGAAAGCGUGGGGAGCGAACAGG